rnacentral:tRNA from 3 species
GCACUCGUAGCUCAGGUGGAUAGAGCGUUGGCCUCCGAAGCCAAAGGCCACAGGUUCGAGUCCUGUCGAGUGCACCA